rnacentral:misc_RNA from 1 species
AACCUUAUGGACCUGCGGGCGUAUACCUGCGGAGGGAUCAUUAUUGAAUAAACUUGGUCAAGCUGUUGCUGGUCCUUCGGGGCAUGUGCACGCUUGCCACCAAUUUUAACCACCUGUGCACCUUUUGUAGAUUGGAAACGUCUCUCGAGGCAACUCGGAUUGAGGACUGCUGUGCGCAAGCCAGCUGUUCUUGUGUUUCUCAAUCUAUGUUUUCAUAUACUCCUAAUGUAUGUAUCAGAA